rnacentral:lncRNA from 1 species
UGAGUUGCCAAUUUGAAUCUCCAUUAAUUUCUUCUCAUGAUCUUAGAUUUUUUGCCCAAGAUCUUCUUCUACACUUAUUUUUCUGCUUGGAGCAUAUGAUUUUAACCUCCCAAGAUUGAUCAAUGAGAUAAGAGCAUGUUUACCAGAAGGAUUUUGAAGAGCUGGUUGCUGAGAGUGGUGAGAUUGAACCACUUGAGGAGUUGGUUUUCACUGCUGCUACUUAGUAGUAUGCUAGAGCUGUUGUACCAUAGUAGUGAGAGCUGAACUUGUUGUACCAAAAGAUUGAAUUGCUGAGGAUUGAUAGCAA